CCACUCUCAUGACUCCCACUGCCACCGGGACUAUCCGCCAUUCUUUCACAGAAAUCAAAACCCUAGCUCAACAACAAAAAAAAUCCCAUUAAAAAACCACCAACACAAAGUGAUUGACAAUGGCUGUAAACAAAACUAAGCAAUUUAGAGUGCUCUCACUGAAAAAACGGAUUUUAUCAACUACUUAUACAUAGAUGAAUAUAUAUAUAUUAUAUAUAUAUAUAUAUAUACAGGACGUGGGUGGGUAGGGUGUACCUGUGUUCUUGGGGGUGGAUUUGUAUUUGGCGCGCUAGGAGAGUGAGAACUGAUAGAGGAUUGGCUAUUGAGUUUGAAGAAUCUGAGAGUUGAGAGGAAGAUCUGACGAUGGAGAGACGAAGCAGGGAACUUUAUUUACUGCUGGCGUUCUUGCGUUCCUGCAUAUUAUAAAAUUGAGUGAAUCAAUUAAGCUCUUUUGCCAAAAAGAUUUUGCGACCCUGGUUGAAGUAAACUCACAUGAGCACCGCGUGACACCCAUGUGAAUAAAAAAUUUCAAAAAAGUGCUCCCAAGUGUACUGUGAGG
rnacentral:lncRNA from 1 species